rnacentral:rRNA from 1 species
CCUACGGGUGGCAGCAGUGAGGAAUAUUGGUCAAUGGGCGCGAGCCUGAACCAGCCAAGUCGCGUGAGGGAAGACGGUCCUCUGGAUUGUAAACCUCUUUUGUCGGGGAGCAAAAGACGCCACGUGUGGCGUUCCGAGAGUACCCGAAGAAAAAGCAUCGGCUAACUCCGUGCCAGCAGUCGCGGUAAUACGGGGGAUGCGAGCGUUAUCCGGAUUUAUUGGGUUUAACGGGUGCGCAGGCGGAAGAUCAAGUCAGCGGGAAAAUUGAGAGGCUCAACCUCUUCGAGCCGUUGAAACUGGUUUUCUGGAGUGAGCGAGAAGUAUGCGGAAUGCGUGGUGUAGCGGUGAAAUGCAUAGAUAUCACGCAGAACUCCGAUUGCGAAGGCAGCAUACCGGCGCUCAACUGACGCUCAUGCACGAAAGUGUGGGUAUCGAACAGGAUUAGAUACCCGGGUAGUC